rnacentral:rRNA from 1 species
CCCUUAGAUGUUCUGGGCCGCACGCGCGCUACACUGAUGCAUUCAACGAGUUUUACCUUGGCCGAGAGGCCUGGGCAAUCUUUUAAACCUGCAUCGUGAUAGGGAUAGAUUAUUGCAAUUAUUAAUCUUGAACGAGGAAUUCCUAGUAAACGCAAAUCAUCAAUUUGCAUUGAUUACGUCCCUGCCCUUUGUACACACCGCCCGUCGCACCUACCGAUUGAAUGGUCCGGUGAAAUCUCGGGAUUGUGGCCAGUUCACUUUAUUGGGAGUUGGCUGCGAGAACUUGCUUAAACCUUAUCAUUUAGAGGAAGGUGAAGUCGUAACA